UACGUAGGGGGCGAGCGUUGUCCGGAUUUAUUGGGCGUAAAGAGCGUGUAGGCGGUUCGGUAAGUCUGUCGUGAAAUCCUGAGGCUCAACCUCGGGCGUGCGAUGGAUACUGCCGGGCUAGAGGGUGGUAGAGGCGAGUGGAAUUCCCGGUGUAGCGGUGAAAUGCGCAGAUAUCGGGAGGAACACCAGUAGCGAAGGCGGCUCGCUGGGCCACACCUGACGCUGAGACGCGAAAGCUAGGGGAGCGAACAGG
rnacentral:rRNA from 2 species